AGAAUUAACGAAAAAAAUUGUGCAAGAACUUAUGAAUGUGCGAACAUGUGAAAUUGGUAUUACAUGUAAUUGGCAUGUUAUGGAAUUUAAAUAUGGCAAUAUAUUAACAUGAUAUACAGAGCCGGACAGUAACGGAGUACAGUAGCAAAACAUAGAAAACAUAGAAACAUUUACUUGAGUACAGUACUUAAGUACAAUUUUGAGGGAUCUAUACUUUACUCGAGUAUCAUUAUUGGGGAGUGCGCAUGACUUUACUCAGGUACAUUUGAGAGGCAAAUAUUGUACUCUUUACUCUGCUACAUUUCUAUCCAUAAUCAUAAGUACCCGUUACUUCUUCGACCCCGUCCACACGGAGACGGACCCCCAAUCUUUUUUUCCCUCGUCUCAAGAAAUAUCCGCGUCCACACGAAACCGAUGUAGUAUACAUGCCAGACCAGCAUGUGGCGCUGUAAUUCUACCACAGAAAUAAACUUAAAAUGGAGAAGAAGACAUGGGCUGAUAGAGAGACACAGGGAGAGCGAGAGAUCCAAUUGCACAUGUCUUUAAUAAAGGGUAACCCAAAUCGUAGUCAGGAACAAGCUAAGGUCAACACCAAAAAGUAAAAUAAACAAACAAAAGGAAAGGGAACGAGAGGAUUUGGAGGACGAGCAGACUGGGAAGAAUCUCGGGGAACGAGAAUUCUGGAUACAUGAAGGCACCAAGCAACAGCACUUACCUUUGGCUCGCUUCCUCGCAGUUCCUGUGUCACCCUCUCCUGCUGCCAACUCACCUCUGCCUUCCGGAUACUUCACUCAUCGCCACCAUCUUGGACUGUGUAUUCCUCCCAGCGUCAUAUUUGUGUCUCAGUAUUGUCUUGUAUCAUUGUCUUCAUUAAAAUUGUGCUUGACAGAAACCUGGCUAAAACCUGAUGAUUACAUUAUUUUAAAUGAGUCCACCCCCCAAGAUUAUUGUUAUAAACACGAGCCGCGUCUAAAAGGCAAAGGGGGAGGAGUUGCUUCAAUUUAUAAUAACGUUUUCAGGAUUUCUCAGAGGGCAGGCUUCA
rnacentral:lncRNA from 1 species